rnacentral:rRNA from 1 species
CCUGGUUGAUCCUGCCAGUAGCCAUAUGCUUGUCUCAAAGAUUAAGCCAUGCAUUUCUAAGUAUGAACUAAUUCAGACUGUGAAACUGCGGAUAGCUCAUUAAAUCAGUUAUAGUUUUUUUGAUGGUACCGUACUACUCAGAUAACCGUAGUAAUUCUAGAGCUAAUACGUUAACCAAGUCCCGACUCUUUGGAAGGGAUGCAUUUUUUAGAUAAAAGGUCGGUGCGGACUUGCACGCUUCUCCAGUGAAUCAUGGUAACUCGACGGAUCGCACAUCCCUUGUGCUGGCGAUGUUUCAUUCAAAUUUCUGCCCUAUCAACUUUCGAUGGUAGGGUAGAGGCCUACCAUGGUGGUGACGGGUGAUGGAGAAUUAGGGUUCUAUUCCGGAGAGGGAGCCUGAGAAACGGCUACCACAUCCAAGGAAGGCAGCAGGCUCGCAAAUUACCCAAUCCUAACAUGGGGAGGUAGUGACAAUAAAUAACAAUACUGGGCUCAUCGAGUCUGGUAAUUGGAAUGAGUACAAUCUAAAUCCCUUAAUGAGGAUCCAUUGGAGGGCAAGUCUAGUGCCAGCAGCUGCGGUAAUUCCAGCUCCAAUAGCGUAUAUUCAAGUUGUUGCAGUUAAAAAGCUCAUAGUUGGAUCUUGGGUCGUAAAGGUCAGUCUGCCUACUUGGUGUGCACCUUCCCUUUCGUCCCUUUUGUCGGUGACAUGCUCCUGGCCUUAAUUGGAUGGGUCGCGGCUCCGGAGAUGUUACUUUGAAAAAAUUAGAGUGCUCAAAGCAAUCUUAUGCUCUGAAUACAUUAGCAUGGAAUAACGUGAUAGGAGUCUGUUCCUAGUGUGUUGGCCUUAGAGACUAGAGUAAUGGUUAAUAGGGACUAUCGGGGGCAUUCGUAUUUCAUUGUUAGAGGUGAAAUUCUUGGAUUUAUGAAAUAUGGACCACUGCGAAAGCAUUUUCCAAGGAUUUUUCAUUAAUCAAGAAAGAAAGUUGGGGGCUCGAAGACGAUCAGAUACCGUCCUAGUCUCAACCAUAAACAAUGCUGACCAGGGAUUGGCGGAUGUUACUCUAAGGACUCCGCCAACACCUUCUGAGAAAUCAGAGUGUUUGGCUUCCGGGGGGAGUAUGGUCGCAAGGCUGAAACUUAAAGGAAUUGAUGGAAGAGCACCACUAGGAGUGGAGCCUGCAGCCUAAUUUGACUCAACAGGGGGAAACUUACCAAGUCCAGACAUAGUAAGGAUUGACAGAUUGAGAGCUGUAGAAUUGAGGCUUCUGUGAUCUGUCAUAGUUAUAAUAAGAGCUUCGGCGUAAAUCACACAAAAAAGACUGAGAGCUCUUUCUUGAUUCUAUGGGUGGUGGUGCAUGGUCGUUCUUAGUUGGUGGAGUGAUUUUUCUGGUUAAUUCCAAUAACGAACGAGACCUCAGCCUGCUAACUAGAUACAUGGAGGUUCCCCUUCGUGGCCAGCCUCUUAGAGGGACUAUGGGCAUUUAGGCCAUGGAAGUUUGAGGCAAUAAUAGGUCUGUGAUGCCCUUAGAUGUUUUGGGCCGCACGCGUGCUACACUGAUGCAGCCAACGAGCUUUUCUUCCUGGUUCAAGAGGAUCGAGAAAUCUUCUCAAAUUGCAUCGUGAUGGGGAUAGACCAUUGCAAUUACCAUAGGUGAACCUGCGGUAGGAUCAUUG